UACGUAGGGUGCAAGCGUUGUCCGGAAUUAUUGGGCGUAAAGAGCGUGUAGGCGGCCAGGUAGAUCUGGUGUGAAAACUCGAGGCUUAACCUCGAGAUGUCAUCGGAAACCAUCUGGCUAGAGUCCGGAAGAGGAGAGUGGAAUUCCUGGUGUAGCGGUGAAAUGCGCAGAUAUCAGGAAGAACACCAAUGGCGAAAGCAGCUCUCUGGGACGGUACUGACGCUGAGACGCGAAAGCGUGGGGAGCGAACAGG
rnacentral:rRNA from 1 species